UACGUAGGGGGCAAGCGUUAUCCGGAUUUACUGGGUGUAAAGGGAGCGUAGACGGUAGUGCAAGUCUGGAGUGAAAGGCGGGGGCCCAACCCCCGGACUGCUCUGGAAACUGUGCGACUAGAGUGCAGGAGAGGUGGGUGGAAUUCCUAGUGUAGCGGUGAAAUGCGUAGAUAUUAGGAGGAACACCAGUGGCGAAGGCGGCUUACUGGACUGUAACUGACGUUGAGGCUCGAAAGCGUGGGGAGCAAACAGG
rnacentral:rRNA from 1 species